rnacentral:rRNA from 1 species
CCAGACUCCUACGGGAGGCAGCAGUGAGGAAUAUUGGUCAAUGGGCGGAAGCCUGAACCAGCCAAGUCGCGUGAGGGACUAAGGCCCUGCGGGUCGUAAACCUCUUUUGCCGGGGAGCAGUGGUCCGGACGCGUCCGGACCGGGAGAGUACCCGGAGAAAAAGCAUCGGCUAACUCCGUGCCAGCAGCCGCGGUAAUACGGAGGAUGCGAGCGUUAUCCGGAUUUAUUGGGUUUAAAGGGUGCGUAGGCGGGCAUUUAAGCCGGCGGUCAAAUGUCGGGGCUCAACCCCGGCCUGCCGUCGGAACUGGGUGCCUUGAGUGGGCGAGAAGUAUGCGGAAUGCGUGGUGUAGCGGUGAAAUGCAUAGAUAUCACGCAGAACCCCGAUUGCGAAGGCAGCAUACCGGCGCCCUACUGACGCUGAGGCACGAAAGUGCGGGUAUCGAACAGGAUUAGAUACCCGAGUA